GCAUCGGUAGCUCAGUUGCAGAGUGGUGGGGCGUUUACCCAUGCGGCCCGGGUUCGAUCUCCGGUCGAUGCG